UACGUAGGGGGCUAGCGUUGUCCGGAAUCAUUGGGCGUAAAGCGCGUGUAGGCGGCCCGGUAAGUCCGCUGUGAAAGUCGGGGGCUCAACCCUCGGAUGCCGGUGGAUACUGUCGGGCUCGAGUACGGAAGAGGCGAGUGGAAUUCCUGGUGUAGCGGUGAAAUGCGCAGAUAUCGAUGAGGAAGACCAGUUGCGAAGGCGGAUCUCUGGGCAGUUCCUGACGCUGAGGCACGAAGGUCAGGGGAGCAAACGGGG
rnacentral:rRNA from 1 species